AUGAUGGACUAUAGGACAGGACUGCUGCUUUUAACUCUCUACUGGGCAGGUGUUGAUGGUCAGACUCUGACAGAAUCUGAACCAGUGGUUAAGAGGCCUGGAGAAUCCCACAGACUGACCUGUACAGCCUCUGGAUUGUCAAUCAGUAGCAACUGGAUGGCUUGGGUCAGACAGGCUGCUGGAAAAGGCCUAGAAUGGAUAACAGCUGAAACCAACGGUGGUAGCACCAACUACUACUCUCAGUCAGUCCAAGGCCGGUUUACUGUCUCCAGAGACAAUAACAGACAGCAGCUGUAUCUGCAGAUGAACAGUCUGAAGACUGAUGAUUCUGCUGUUUAUUAUUGUGCUCGAUUCUCACAGUGA